rnacentral:rRNA from 1 species
AGAGUUUGAUCAUGGCUCAGAACGAACGCUGGCGGCAGGCUUAACACAUGCAAGUCGAACGCUCGUAGCAAUACGGGAGUGGCAGACGGGUGAGUAACGCGUGGGAACAUACCCUCCGGUUCGGAAUAGCUCAGGGAAACUUGGAUUAAUACCGGAUACGGCCGAGAGGCGAAAGAUUUAUCGCCGGAGGAUUGGCCCGCGUUCGAUUAGCUAGUUGGUGAGGUAACGGCUCACCAAGGCGAUGAUCGAUAGCUGGUCUGAGAGGAUGAUCAGCCACAUUGGGACUGAGACACGGCCCAAACUCCUACGGGAGGCAGCAGUGGGGAAUAUUGGACAAUGGGCGCAAGCCUGAUCCAGCCAUGCCGCGUGAGUGAUGACGGCCUUAGGGUUGUAAAGCUCUUUCGCUCGGGACGAUAAUGACGGUACCGAGAUAAGAAGCCCCGGCUAACUUCGUGCCAGCAGCCGCGGUAAUACGAAGGGGGCUAGCGUUGUUCGGAAUUACUGGGCGUAAAGCGCGUGUAGGCGGGUCUUUAAGUCAGGGGUGAAAUGCCAAGGCUCAACCUUGGAACUGCCUUUGAUACUGGAGAUCUUGAGUCCGAGAGAGGUGAGUGGAAUUGCGAGUGUAGAGGUGAAAUUCGUAGAUAUUCGCAAGAACACCAGUGGCGAAGGCGGCUCACUGGCUCGGAACUGACGCUGAGACGCGAAAGCGUGGGGAGCAAACAGGAUUAGAUACCCUAGUAGUCC